rnacentral:rRNA from 1 species
AGAGUUUGAUCCUGGCUGAGAACGAACGCUGGCGGCGUGCUUAACACAUGCCAGUCGAACGAGAAAGAGUUCCUUCGGGAACUUGAGUAGAGUGGCGCACGGGUGAGUAACGCGUAGAUAAUCUACCCUUAUAUAUGGAAUAACUGGGCGAAAGCUCAGCUAAUACCGUAUACGCUUUUCCGGGCGCGAGACCGGGGGAGGAAAGGUGGCCUCUGAUUCAAGCUAUCGUAUAAGGAUGAGUCUGCGUACCAUUAGCUAGUAGGUGGGGUAAUAGCCCACCUAGGCGACGAUGGUUAGCUGGUCUGAGAGGACGAUCAGCCACACUGGAACUGAGACACGGUCCAGACUCCUACGGGAGGCAGCAGUGGGGAAUUUUGCGCAAUGGGGGAAACCCUGACGCAGCAACGCCGCGUGAGUGAUGAAGGCCCUUGGGUCGUAAAGCUCUGACAGAGGGAAAGAAAUGUAGAGGGGCUAAUAUCCCCAUUACUUGACGGUACCCUCAAAGGAAGCACCGGCUAACUCCGUGCCAGCAGCCGCGGUAAUACGGGGGGUGCAAGCGUUGUUCGGAUUUAUUGGGCGUAAAGCGCGUGUAGGCGGUUUUUUAAGUCUGAUGUGAAAGCCCUGGGCUCAACCCGGGAAGUGCAUUGGAUACUGGAAGACUUGAAUACGGGAGAGGGCAGUGGAAUUCCUAGUGUAGGAGUGAAAUCCGUAGAUAUUAGGAGGAACACCGGUGGCGAAGGCGGCUGCCUGGACCGAUAUUGACGCUGAGACGCGAAAGCGUGGGUAGCAAACAGGAUUAGAUACCCUGGUAGUCC